CUGGGAGGGUGGGCAGGGAUGGAAUUCCCGGAGGAUUCGGGCACUGCUCCAUCCCUGGGAGUGCCCAAGGCCAGCCUGGGAAAACCUGGGAUGGUGCAAAUGUCCCAGCCCAUGGAAUGGGAUCAUUGCAAAUCCUAAAACUGGAAUUUUAGGUGGUUGAUCCCAACCCAUUCCGUGAAUCCCUGACUCGUCACACCCCCGGAGUUUCCUCCCUGUCCUUUUCCCAGCCCUUCCCACCCAUCCCGGAGCUCCAGGCUCCUCUGGCUCCUCACAAACCCUCGCUGGAGGCUGGACAAGGAGAAAUCCCAGCUAAACCAGGCCAAAACUGUGUUUACAAACCCCCAAAUUUAUUUAUUUCUCCUCACUCGCAUUCCCUGGCUCUGCUCUUCCCAUCCUGGCACUGCCCCAGCUCACCAGGGAAUGGCUCAUUACUGGGAUUUCCAAAAAUAUUAUCAUAAAAAUCAGCUUUUUUUAGUUUUUAUGCCCAGUAAAGGGACCAAUUACUGGGAGUAGCUCUGGGUUUCCUCGUGGUUGGAACCAGGUUUGGGAAUGGCUGCUGGAAGAGCUGGAGCAGGAGGGAGAAGUGGGAAUGGUCUGAGCUGAGGGGGGAGCUGGGAAUUCUUCUGGAUAUCCCAGUGGGGGUGGGAGGUCAAUCCAGGUGAUCCUAAGAGUGGAAAUCCAGGUGAUGAUGGGAAUGGAAAUCCAGGUAAUCCUGGAAUGGAAAUCCAGGUGAUGCUGGGAAUGGAAAUCCAGGUGAUGCUGGGAAUGGAAAUCCAGGUGAUGUUGGGAUGGAAAUCCAGGUAAUCCUGGAAUGGAAAUCCAGGUGAUGAUGGGAAUGGAAAUCCAGGUAAUCCUGGAAUGGAAAUCCAGGUAAUCCUGGGAAUGGAAAUCCAGGUGAUGCUGGGAAUGGAAAUCCAGGUGAUUCUGGGAAUGGAAAUCCAGGUGAUUCUGGGAAUGGAAAUCCAGGUAAUCCUGGAAUGGAAAUCCAGGUGAUCCUAAGAGUGGAAAUCCAGGUGAUGCUGGGAAUGGAAAUCCAGGUAAUCCUGGAAUGGAAAUCCAGGUGAUGAUGGGAAUAUAAAUCCAGGUAAUCCUGGAAUGGAAAUCCAGGUGAUGAUGGGAAUGGAAAUCCAGGUAAUCCUGGGAAUGGAAAUCCAGGUAAUCCUGGAAUGGAAAUCCAGGUGAUGCUGGGAAUAUAAAUCCAGGUAAUCCUGGAAUGGAAAUCCAGGUGAUGAUGGGAAUGGAAAUCCAGGUAAUCCUGGGAAUGGAAAUCCAGGUAAUCCUGGAAUGGAAAUCCAGGUGAUGAUGGGAAUAUAAAUCCAGGUAAUCCUGGGAAUGGAAAUCCAGGUAAUCCUGGGAAUGGAAAUCCAGGUGAUCCUGAGGAGCUCCUGCUCCAGCCCCUCCAGAGGCACAUCCAUGGAUUCCUCGGAUCGUUCCCUCUGAGCUGCUCCCUGGACGGUUCUGAGCUCCACUCCCACCAACCCAGCGGAUUUUCCAGAGCUCCAAUCCCAUUUCCUGCCUGUUGGGAUCAGCCUAAACCACUGCACUGCUGAGAGGCAAAACCCACCGGGAUGGAGAGGGUGGAGCAGGGAGAAUAAUCCACAGGAACUGGAAAAGUGGGAGGAAAACCUGGAGCUGCUUUUUGGGGGGCACGGAAAUGUUUUUUUUCUGCAGUUUUGGCACAUCCUGAGGGGCUGAUGAGGCUCAGACUGGGCAGGACAAGGUUUUGCUCCCAGUUUGCCCCAGUUCCCGGCAGGGGAGCCCUGGAAAGGCGGUGGGAGAUUGGGAAUGCUCCUGGCUGGAAAAGGAGGAGGAGGAAGAGGAGGAGGAAGAGGAGGAGAAGGCCUGCGGGGUUGCCAUGGCGAUCCAGCAUCUCCAAAUCCUCCGAUUAUUUAUCCCCGGUGUCCCCGUUAUGUAAAUCCCAGCGUGGGAAUGCUGUGGAUUUUAUGGAUGCGGAGUUUGCGCGGCUGAGGGGACACCUUGGAUUGUCACAUCAAAGGGAAAAUGACUCCGGGAAAGCGGGAGCCCUGUGGAAAAAUCGAUUUCGAAAUCGUUUGAUUUUGCCAACAGAGGGGAUUUCUGGGAAGGCCAAGGAGCAUCCUCAGGGAAUGAGGCUCCCACUGGAGCUGUCACCCAAGGGCAGGAGGAGGAAUGAGGGUUUUCCCUGGCUGUGGAUGCUGAAGGAGCCUUGGAUGAAGAAAAUCUUUCCAAAAUCAUGGAAUGGUUCGGAAGGAAGGUCAUUGAGUCCCUGAGCAGGGACAUCACCUGCUAAACCUAUCCCAGAGCCAGCAGGAUGAUAUUCCAUGGAAAACAGCACAGCCAACACUCCCACAGCUCCAAAAAUCCGGGAGAAAACCAGAAUUUAACAAAAAACCCCGGGGAGAAGCAAACAGCCUUUCUUGGGAAGGGGAGGAGAAAGCUGGGAAUGUUUUCCAAGAACCCCCCUGCUCUGGCACGGGGAGGACAAUGACAAACGAGGUGAACUCGGAGGCUGCGGAGAAAAUCUUGGCAGCGGGCGGAAAACGCGCUGCCAGAUUCCGGGGAAUUUUAACUGGCAUUUAAUUAGCGGCACUCAGGUGGUCACAGGAGCGGUGGCAGUGCCGCAGUUCCUGGCAUUUGUUAAUUAAAGCUGCUCCUGACAGGGAUUAACGACUUCUU